UGGGGAAUAUUGCACAAUGGGCGAAAGCCUGAUGCAGCAACGCCGCGUGAGUGAUGAAGGCCUUCGGGUUGUAAAGCUCUGUCUUUUGGGACGAUAAUGACGGUACCAAAGGAGGAAGCCACGGCUAACUACGUGCCAGCAGCCGCGGUAAUACGUAGGUGGCAAGCGUUGUCCGGAUUUACUGGGCGUAAAGGAUGCGUAGGCGGAUUUUUAAGUGAGAUGUGAAAACCCUAAGCUUAACUUGGGGACUGCAUUUCAUACUGGAAAUCUAGAGUGCGGGAGAGGAGAAUGGAAUUCCUAGUGUAGCGGUGAAAUGCGUAGAGAUUAGGAAGAACACCAGUGGCGAAGGCGAUUCUCUGGACCGUAACUGACGCUGAGGCAUGAAAAGCGUGGGUAGCAAACAGGAUUAGAUACCCUGGUAGUCCACGCCGUAAACGAUGAGUACUAGGUGUAGGAGGUAUCGACCCCUUCUGUGCCGCAGUUAACACAAUAAGUACUCCGCCUGGGAAGUACGAUCGCAAGAUUAAAACUUAAAUGAAUUGACGGGGUCAUAGCUGUUUUCCU
rnacentral:rRNA from 1 species